CGGUAAUUCCAGCUCCAAUAGCGUAUACUAAAAUUGUUGCAGUUAAAAAGCUCGUAGUUGGAUUUCUGCGGGGACGGAGCGGCCGGAUGCAACUUGCGUCUCGAGCUAGCGCUUUCCCCGCAUCCUGCCGCGAACCGUGCUACCAUUAGCUUGGUGGCGCUGGGGAUCGGCUCGAUUACUUUGAGAAAAAUAGAGUGUUCAAAGCAGGCCACACGCCUUGAAUAAGUUAGCAUGGAAUAAUGACUAAGGACUUUGGUUCUUUUCGUUGGUGUUCGGGACUGAAGUAAUGAUUGAUAGGGACAGUUGGGGCGGUCUGUAUUCCAAAGCGAGAGGUGAAAUUCUUAGACCUUCGGAAGACAAACAGCUGCGAAAGCGUUCCGCAAGGAUGUUCCCUUUGAUCAAGAGCGAAAGUUGGGGGAUCGAAGACGAUCAGAUACCGUCGUAGUCUCAACUAUAAACUAUACCAGCUAGGGAUCGGCCAACGUUUAAUUAUUCGACUUGGUCGGCACCUUAUGAGAAAUCAAAGCAUCUGGGUUCCGGGGGGAGUAUGGUCGCAAGGCUGAAACUUAAAGGAAUUGACGGAAGGGCACCACCAGGCGUGGAGCCUGUGGCUUAAUUUGACUCAACACGGGAAAACUUACCAGGUCCAGACAUAGGAAGGAUUGACAGAUUGAUAGCUCUUUCUUGAUUCUGUGGGUGGUGGUGCAUGGCCGUUUUUAGUCGGUGAAGUGAUUUGUCUGCUUAAUUGCGUUAACGGACGAGACCCCAGCCUGCUAAAUAGCGCGGCCGAGCUUUGCUCGGUACGAGCUUCUUAGAGGGACCAUGAUGCGCGAUAGCACAAGGAAGUUUGGGGCAACAACAGGUCUGUGAUGCCCUUAGAUGUUCUGGGCCGCACACGGGCUACACUGGCGCCUGCAACGAGCAUAUCAGCUGGCCCGAGAGGGUCUUGGCUAAUCUUUGGAACCGGCGCCGUGCUUGGGAUUGACCAUUGCAAUUGUUGGUCAUGCAACGAGGAAUGCCUUGUAAACGCGAGUCAUCAGCUCGCAUUGAAUACGUCCCUGCCCUUUGUACACACCGCCCGUCGCUCCUACCGAUGAAUGUUCCGAUGAAAUUUUCGGAGAGCGCCGGAGAACGGGGCUCUGCCCUGCAGAACUGGAGGCUCAAAGUCACUUAAAUCUGAACAUUUCGAGGAAGGAGAAGUCGUAACAAGGUAGCCG
rnacentral:rRNA from 1 species